rnacentral:ncRNA from 2 species
UAGCUUUAACCUCCCGUCAGCGGCCGCCCCAGGAAGAGGCUUCUCGGCCGCGGAGCCACUUGGGGCCUCAGUUCUCGCCCUCUUGCCGUCGCCGCGGGUCCUGGAGAAGCGGCCGCGGCCAGGGAACGGGGCAUCGCGGUUCCAACGAUUAACUGCUGAAGUACUGAUCGAGUUCUGCAUUUCUUCAAUGAGGAACUACAGGCUGAUCUUCUGCCAUAAUCUCAAACAGCCAUAAAUGACAAAAGAAUGCUUGCUCAGUGAGGGUAGCUGGUGCAGAAGCCAUUUUUUAAACUUAGGUAUUUAAGUACUGAAAGGUAAGUUUUCAAAAUGGUAACUAUCUCGUGCUCUAUAAAUCCAUAGAGAUUUUGGAACUUGCCCCUGUAGCUGCUAUUUGAUUUAACUUGAGGUUUUAUAGUUCUUAGCUGGCACCAGAUACAUUGAAGAAUGGAUGUUGCUUGUCUGAGACUAUGUAAAUGUAUGGCAUUUUGCUAUCCUUAAGUUAAUUUUUUCUUUUAAGUUGGCUGCAUUGUUUCCUAGUCAUGUUGUGACAUUCUUGAUCCAGUGGGUAUACACUUGAUCCAG